CAAGGAGAAAAGGGAUGCUCGUGUGAAAAUGAAGCAGAUAUCUGCAGUCUGCAGAGAAAAUGACCGUUCAGUAUCAGCUCUGGAUUGAAGCCCCGAGAAUAGUGUACUUCAAGAAAUAACUUACCUGAAGGAAAUACGCAGCACAAUUUGGUUUGUAUGCUCCAGAGAACUUGGUGUUCUCCACAGCCUCUGAAGAGGUGACCAGCAGCAGACCAGCCUAGUGGGAAAUGUUCCUCUAAUCCAAUAGCAACAAAUGCCCCAGAUUCGACAGUGACUGACUUGCCUAGGUAUUUCAUGGGAAAGUGACCCGGAAUCCAUCCCAAGAACAGCGUUCACUGGGAGUCAGAGCAGCCAGACUGCAGUUCUUUGUCUGCACUCACAGUUGGCUCAGCAGCCACAGUCAGAAGCCAAGCCAAUUCAAUCACAGAAAUACACCUCAGCUAAGAACUGCUUAACCAAAUAGAGCCUAUUUCCCGUCAUCUACAAACACAGGUGUCUACAGAGAACAAACCCGAAGAACAGGUAAAUGAACCAAAAUUGCUCCAUGGUGUUCUCUGCACACCAAGAUAAGUGUGGGUAAUGACUCUCAAUCCCAUUGGCCUACCUGCUCAAACUCCUUUAACAUCUAACUUGAAACUCACAGGACUCUACAAUACAUAAAAAACUGGUUAUUUCCCUCAUUGAUACGGCGUUUGAAAAGAAUUAUCAAACAUGGUUUACUCUGCCAUGCACCGUUUAUUCAACUAAUUAUGUUCUCUCUCUUUUUCAAAGAGUUCUAGGCAUGGAGAUAAAAGCGAAAGUGCAGACCAUUCCACUUCAGUGAUGAAAAUCAAUGGGAAUAUUAAGAGGGGAAAAGAUGAAUGAUAUUUAGAAAAAGGGAAGGAAUGGAAAUUAUUUUAAAUAACCGCAGGUGGAAUGGAAGGUUAAUUGCAAAGUCCAGACGUUGCUGAUUCUAGUGUCUCUGUGUUCACCAGGCACCAAACCACACCCCAUUCCUUCCAUCGGGAACGGAAAGGCACUCAGAGAAGGCGACUUUCAACUAAAGGAGUGGCUGAGAUUUGGGGAAAUAACUGUUUUGGGGGGUUCACAUCUAUUACAUGCUCUUAGUAUGGUGUCCUGGUAAGAUGGCAUUUAAGCACCUGUUUCAGUCUUCUCUACUUAAAUGUGUAAGCCUUGGGGAGAGAGGCUGGCCGUUUCCACAGUGGUCUUCUCCAGGUGUAGGUAAGACAAGUAAAUCACACCCAAAGACAGACUAAAAGCUGCAUGAAGACAUGAGACCUCUGUCCUCUUGAACUUCUUUUUCACGGUGAGGAGAGAGCUGAAAAGGCCCUCACUGAGGACCAGCACUGUGCUUCCUCCUUGACCCUUGACAUCUGCUCCUCCUAGGAACUUAAGCAACUAAUCUGAUCUGCCAAAUGGGUCUCCAAUGAGUCAUUCCAAAGGAGACACUCCCCAAAUAAACCAGUUCCAUAGUCCUAAUACUUGAACUUAGUGAAACUUAGCAAGACAUGAAAUACAACCCUAGGUAAAGGAAAGUAAGCAUGAUGAAGGUAUUUUGGUCAUUCUGGUCAUUAUUUUUGUUGCUUUUCUGACCAUCUGUCUUAAGUUCUUUCUCCAGAACUUACUUCACAGUUAUGGAGAACUAUUUUAAGGCAGAGAUACCUCAAAGACUAUUAUUUGCUUUGAUACUAUGUGGGAGUGGGUUUCUUUUGUCAAAACAAACAGCUUUUUAUUGAUUUAUAUGGUUGAUUUUAUAGUUGAUUUACAGUUGAUUUUAUAGUUGAUUUACACGUUGGGUUAGUUUUAGGUGUACAGCAAAGUGAUUCCAUUGUAAGUACAUAUAUAUCUUUUUUUUUUCAGGUUCUUUUCCCUUAUAGGUUAAUACAAAACAUUAAGUAUAGUUCUCUACUAUAUGGGAGGUUCUUGUUGGCUGUCUAUUUUAUAUAUAGUAGAGUGUAUGUGUUAAUCCCAAAUGCUUAACUUUUCCCUCCCCACAUCUUCCCCUUUGAUAACCAUGUUAGUUUUCUAUGACUAUGAGUCUGUUUCUGUUCUGUAAAUAUUAAUAAGUUGAUAUGUAACAUGUUUCAUAUGAUAAGUGAUAUCAUAUGAUAUUUGUCUUUCUCUGUCUGACUUACUUCACUUAGUACAAUUAUCUUUAGGUCCAACA